rnacentral:rRNA from 1 species
GUUAGGAAUAUUGGACAAUGGGCGCAAGCCUGAUCCAGCCAUGCCGCGUGAGUGAUGAAGGCCUUCGGGUUGUAAAGCUCUUUAGUCCACGAAUAUAAUGACUGUAGUGGAAGAAUAAGCCCCGGCUAACUUCGUGCCAGCAGCCGCGGUAAUACGAAGGGGGCGAGCGUUAUUCGGAAUCACUGGGCGUAAAGCGUGCGUAGGCUGUUUUGUAAGUCAGAAGUGAAAGCCCAGGGCUUAACCCUGGAAUUGCUUUUGAAACUACAAGACUCGAAUUCGGGAGAGGAUAGCGGAAUUGUCAGUGUAGCAGUGAACUGCGUAGAUAUUGACAGGAACACCAGUGGCGCAAGCGGCUAUCUGGACCGAUAUUGACGCUGAGGCACGAAAGCGUGGGGAGCAAACAGGAUUAGAUACCCCUGUAGUCC